CAGACUAUGUGAUACACAACACUUGCUCGGUAAAUGUUUAUUAUUUAUUCUCAUCUUUCUUUAUAACUUUAUUGUAUUUUUUAGAAUGCAUGCAGUCCAGGCAGUAAGAGUGGAGGACCACCCAAACUUUGGGCUCUCCCAGGCCACUCUCCGAGCCAUUAGGGUGCUGAGGCAUCUCCUCAAGAAGUCUUCCCUCAGGGAACUGACUGCUGGUUUACCUGCCUGUGGAAUAGCAGGACACCUCUCCGCUCUGCACUCUGACAGCCUAACAUAAUAGGAAGCUGAUACAGGAGGGAACAUAUGAAUGUCUGGGCUUGGGCAGAGCACAGACCCUUGACGAUGGAAUCAAUGUCAAAUACCAUGAGGGCGCCACAUGACUGGAAGAAGCAGGGUCCUGGGGACUUUGGGAACUGAAGAAACUUGGGAAGGGAAAUGACAACCCACCCAGCGGUUAUCCUUACAAAAGAAACGCAAUUUGCCUGCCGAGAAGCUGAGGAACUUUGACUUGACCUCUCUGUUCAAAACCUCUGAGCCAUCCUUGACAACUCUUUCUUCCUGGCGGAACAAGUACUCACCAAGAGCGUAUUAUGCAGUAAGCAACACGCCAGCUACAGAAUCACAUGAGCUCACACCAGGAGUUUCAGGAAUUUCCAUUAUAUCCUGUGGGAAUUGAAACAUCCUUCAAAGUAAUGAAUGGCCAAAGAGGUGUGGAGGGGAAGCACCUACAGCCUGUUUGUCACCAUGGGCAUCGAGAAGAGAGGAAGAUGCACAGGGGGAGUUGGCUGGAAAGGUCUGGACUUCUCUUUCAGACAGUGGGCUGUUACUAGCAGCCAGAGGCAGCUCAGGACCUCCAGCUUUAGGCCUGUA
rnacentral:lncRNA from 12 species